ACUAUUUUGGCAGAUAAGUGCAUUAGAUUUAGAAUCUAUGAAUGUAGAUUUAUUAUUUACAGGUAGUA
rnacentral:tRNA from 1 species